rnacentral:rRNA from 1 species
AUACAGAGGGUGCAAGCGUUAAUCGGAUUUACUGGGCGUAAAGCGCGCGUAGGUGGCUAAUUAAGUCAAAUGUGAAAUCCCCGAGCUUAACUUGGGAAUUGCAUUCGAUACUGGUUAGCUAGAGUAUGGGAGAGGAUGGUAGAAUUCCAGGUGUAGCGGUGAAAUGCGUAGAGAUCUGGAGGAAUACCGAUGGCGAAGGCAGCCAUCUGGCCUAAUACUGACACUGAGGUGCGAAAGCAUGGGGAGCAAACAGGAUUAGAUACCCUGGUAGUCCAUGUCGUAAACGAUGUCUACUAGCCGGUGGGGCCCUUGAGGCUUUAGCGGCGCAGCUAACGCGAUAAGUAGACCGCCUGGGGAGUACGGUCGCAAGACUAAAACUCAAAUGAAUUGACGGGG